GCCAGCCACAGUGGCGCAUGGCUGUAAUCCCAGUAGCUCAGGAGGCUGAGGCAGGAGGAUCAUGAGUUCAAAGUCAGCCUCAGCAAAGCUAGGUGCUAAACAACUCAGUGAGACCCUGUCUCUG
rnacentral:sRNA from 1 species